rnacentral:rRNA from 1 species
GACGAACGCUGGCGGCGUGCUUAACACAUGCAAGUCGAACGGAAAGGCCCUGCUUUUGUGGGGUGCUCGAGUGGCGAACGGGUGAGUAACACGUGAGUAACCUGCCCUUGACUUUGGGAUAACUUCAGGAAACUGGGGCUAAUACCGGAUAGGAGCUCCUGCUGCAUGGUGGGGGUUGGAAAGUUUCGGCGGUUGGGGAUGGACUCGCGGCUUAUCAGCUUGUUGGUGGGGUAGUGGCUUACCAAGGCUUUGACGGGUAGCCGGCCUGAGAGGGUGACCGGCCACAUUGAGCCUGAGAUACGGCCCAGACUCCUACGGGAGGCAGCAGUGGGGAAUAUUGCACAAUGGGCGGAAGCCUGAUGCAGCAACGCCGCGUGCGGGAUGACGGCCUUCGGGUUGUAAACCGCUUUCGCCUGUGACGAAGCGUGAGUGACGGUAAUGGGUAAAGAAGCACCGGCUAACUACGUG